CGGCGCAAAACAUGGAGUGGACGCCCGAUCCAGAAGCUUUAGGACAAAUUUUAAAUCUAUUGAGAGAGUCUCAAUCUGCAAAUACCGGCGUUCAACAAUCUGUGCAACAGAAAUUAGAAGAACUUAAUAAAUUUACUGACUUCAAUAAAUAUCUGAUAUUCGUCCUAACCAAAUUGCUAUCAGAAGAUGAGCCUACAAGAUCUUUGAGUGGUUUGAUCCUGAAGAACAAUGUCAAGGCGCACUUCCACCAAUUCCCUCCCGAUGUUGCUCAAUUCAUCAAGAUGGAGUGCCUGUGUGCAGUGGGUGACCCCUCCCCCCUCAUACGGGCCACAGUGGGCAUCCUCAUCACCACCAUUGCCAGCAAAGGUGAAUUGUCAUCAUGGCCUGAGCUGCUACCCAAGCUCUGUGAAAUGCUGUCAGCAUCUGACUACAACGUGUGUGAGGGGGCGUUUGGAGCCCUGCAGAAGAUAUGCGAGGACAGUGCUGAGUAUCUCGAGAAGUCUCCCGAGCAGCCCCUGGACGCUCUCAUCCCUAAGUUUCUGCAGUUCUUCAAGCACUCUUCAUCCAAAAUUAGGUCGCAUGCCAUUGCGUGCGUUAAUCAGUUCAUCAUCAGCAAGACUCAGGCGCUGAUGUCCAACAUCGAUGCAUUUUUGGAAAAUUUGUUCCACUUGGCCAUGGACGAGGACCCUGAUGUGCGCAAGAAUGUGUGCAGGGCUCUGGUGAUGCUGCUUGAUGCCCACAUCAAUUCCCUAAUACCGCACAUGAAUAACAUCAUCGAGUACAUGAUGCUUAGGACACAGGAUAAUGAUGACAAUGUGGCACUGGAAGCCUGCGAGUUCUGGUUGUCUCUUGCUGAACAUCCUAUCUGCAAGGACGCCCUGCGCCCUCACCUACCCAAGCUCCUUCCUGUACUCGUCAGGGGCAUGAAAUACUCCGAAAUUGACAUCAUUUUGCUCAAGGGCGAUGUCGAGGAGAACGAGUCAGUGCCUGACAGGAACGAGGAUAUCAAGCCCCGCUUCCACAAGUCCCGCCACACCAUCCGCCAUGAGCCCAUGGAGAAUGGCAUUGGCAGCGGCGGGGCCAGUGGAGGUGGUGAUGACUUCCCUCCUGACGAUGACAACGACUCUGAUGAUGGUGUCGAGGAUGACACUAGUCUCUCAGACUGGAACCUCAGGAAGUGCUCAGCAGCGGCCCUGGAUGUACUAGCCAGCGUCUUCAGGGACGACAUGUUGCCCGUCAUUCUGCCUAUACUCAAAGAGACGCUCUUCCACAGCGAGUGGGAGAUCAGAGAGAGCGGUAUCCUGGCGCUGGGAGCUAUAGCCGAGGGUUGCAUGAGCGGCAUGACGCCUCACUUGCCUGAGCUCAUCCCGUACCUCAUCAAUUGUCUGAAGGACAAGAAAGCUCUCGUGAGGUCCAUCACUUGCUGGACGCUCUCGCGGUACUGCCACUGGGCCGUAGUUCUGCCUGACCACACUUACCUGAAACCUCUCAUGUAUGAGUUGCUUAAGUGCAUCCUCGACAGCAACAAAAGAGUACAGGAGGCUGCUUGUUCAGCAUUUGCUACUCUGGAAGAGGAAGCUUGUACUGAGCUUGUCCAAUAUUUAGGCGACGUUCUGCGUACUCUAGUCUUUGCAUUCAAGAAAUAUCAAGCAAAGAACCUCCUCAUACUUUAUGAUGCCAUUGGCACGCUUGCGGACAGCGUCGGUAAUUUCCUCAACAAGGAAGAAUACAUCCAACUCCUGAUGCCGCCGCUCAUCGAAAAGUGGAACAUCCUGAAAGAUGAAGAUAAGGACCUCUUCCCUCUGUUGGAAUGCCUCUCAAGUGUUGCCACUGCCCUGCAAACUGGCUUUCUUCCUUACUGCGGGCCCGUGUAUCAGCGAUGCGUGUCUCUUGUUGAACAAACUCUCAAUCAAACUCUAGCUCAUGCUCAGAAUCCUGAGCAGUUUGAAGCGGCCGACAAAGAUUUCAUGAUCGUGAGUUUGGACCUUCUCUCUGGUUUAGCUGAAGGUUUGAACGGCCACAUCGGUGACCUGGUGCAGAACAGCAACAUAAUGCGGCUUCUGUACCAGGCCAUGCAAGACGCUAUGGCCGAAGUGCGACAAAGCUCAUUUGCUUUGCUCGGAGACCUCACGAAAGCUUGCUUCCAGCACGUCGCUCCCUGCAUACCGGAGUUUAUGCCGAUCCUUGGGCAGAACCUCAACCCCGAGCUGAUAUCGGUGUGCAAUAAUGCCACCUGGGCGAUAGGGGAAAUUUCUGUCAAGUUGGGUACGGAAAUGAACGCGUAUGUCAGUAUUGUUUUGUCGGACCUGAUCUUCAUCCUCAACAAGCCCAACACGCCCAAGACACUUCUAGAGAACACAGGUGCAUCUCGCUGCGGAACAUUCGUGACAACGAAGAGAAGGACUCUGCAUUCCGUGGUGUGUGCAACAUGAUCAGCGUCAACCCGUCCGGAGUGGUUGAAGACUUUAUCUUCUUCUGUGACGCCAUCGCUUCAUGGGUCAAUCCUAAACCCGAUUUGAAGGAAAUGUUUCACAGGAUCCUGCAUUGCUUCAAGGAGCAGGUUGGCGAAGAGAACUGGAAGCGCUUCACUGAACAGUUCCCUCUGCCCCUCAAAGAACGGCUG
rnacentral:misc_RNA from 1 species